rnacentral:rRNA from 1 species
AGCAGCCGCGGUAAUUCCAGCUCCAAUAGCGUAUAUUAAAGUUGCUGCAGUUAAAAAGCUCGUAGUUGAAUUUCGGGACCAAUAUGUCGGUCGUGCCUCGGUACGUACUGGCACCGUUGGUUUCUCCCUUCUGACGAACCAUGAUGUCAUUUAUUUGGUGUCGUGGGGAAUCAGGACUGUUACUUUGAAAAAUUAGAGUGUUUAAAGCAGGCUCACGCUUGAAUACAUUAGCAUGGAAUAAUGAAAUAGGACGUUUGAUUCUAUUUUGUUGGUUUCUAGGAUCGACGUAAUGAUUAAUAGGGAUAGUUGGGGGCAUUAGUAUUCAAUUGUCAGAGGUGAAAUUCUUGGAUUUAUUGAAGACUAACUACUGCGAAAGCAUUUGCCAAGGAUGUUUUCAUUAAUCAAGAACGAAAGUUAGGGGAUCGAAGACGAUCAGAUACCGUCGUAGUCUUAACCAUAAACUAUGCCGACUAGGGAUCGGAUGAUGUUAAUUUUUAAUGUACUCA